GCGUGCGAUCAUGCUGGCAUUAAUACACCGAAUCCCAUCAGGACUUCAUAGUUAAGAAUGCUUGGGCGAGAGUAGUAAUAGGAUGGGUGACCUCUUGAGAAGUCCUCGUGUUGCAUCCC